rnacentral:rRNA from 1 species
AUUGAACGCUGGCGGCAGGCCUAACACAUGCAAGUCGAACGAGUGGCGGACGGGUGAGUAAUGUCUGGGAAACUGCCUGAUGGAGGGGGAUAACUACUGGAAACGGUAGCUAAUACCGCAUACCAUCGGAUGUGCCCAGAUGGGAUUAGCUAGUAGGGGGGGUAAAGGCUCACCUAGGCGACGAUCGCUAGCUGGUCUGAGAGGAUGACCAGUCACACUGGAAGGGAGACACGGUCCAGACUCAUCCGGGCGGCAGCAGUGGGGAAUAUUGGACAAUGGGCGAAAGCCUGAUGCAGCAAUGCCGCGUGUAUGAAGCAGGCCUUCGAAUUGUAAAGUAAUUUCAGCGGGGAGGCGUUACCCGCAGAAGAAGCACCGGCUAACUCCGUGCCAGCAGCCGCGGUAAUAC